GCGGCUGGAUCCCCUCCUU
rnacentral:rRNA from 1 species